GGGCACGUGGCGAAAUUGGCAGACGCGCUACGUUCAGGUCGUAGUUCCCGCAAGGGAUUGGGAGUUCGAGUCUCCCCGUGCCCA
rnacentral:tRNA from 1 species